rnacentral:rRNA from 1 species
UACGGGGGGGGGCAAGCGUUGUUCGGAAUUACUGGGCGUAAAGGGCUCGUAGGCGGCCAACUAAGUCAGACGUGAAAUCCCUCGGCUUAACCGGGGAACUGCGUCUGAUACUGGAUGGCUUGAGGUUGGGAGAGGGAUGCGGAAUUCCAGGUGUAGCGGUGAAAUGCGUAGAUAUCUGGAGGAACACCGGUGGCGAAGGCGGCAUCCUGGACCAAUUCUGACGCUGAGUGAGCGAAAGCCAGGGGAGCAAACGGG